AUGGUUUAUUAAGGUAGUGAUGGUUAGCUGGUCUGAGAGGAUGGUUAGCCAUAUUGGAAUUGAUAUAUGGUUUAGAUUUUUAUGGGAGGUAGUAGUGAGGAAUUUUGUGUAAUGGGGGAAAUUUUGAUGCAGCAACGCCGCGUGAGUGAUGAAGGCCUUUGGGUCGUAAAGCUCUGUCAAGUGGGAAGAAUCAGAAAGAUGAUAAUAUUAUUUUUUCCUGAUGGUACCACUGAAGGAAGCACCGGUUAACUCCGUGCCAGUAGUUGUGGUAAUACGGGGGGUGCAAGCGUUAUUCGGAAUUAUUGGGCGUAAAGAGCGCGUAGGCGGUUUCUUAAGUUAGGUGUGAAAGUUUGGGGUUUAAUUUUGGAAGGGUAUUUGAAAUUAAGGGACUUGAGUAUGGGAGAGGGAAGUGGAAUUUUUGGUGUAGAGGUGAAAUUUGUAGAUAUUAGGAGGAAUAUUGGUGGUGAAGGUGAUUUUCUGGACCAAUACUGACGCUGAGGCGCGAAGGCGUGGGGAGUAAAUAGGAUUAGAUAUUUUGGUAGUCCACGCAGUAAACGGUGAUCACUAGGUGUAGCGGGUAUUGAUUCCUGCUGUGCCGCAGUUAAUGCAUUAAGUGAUUCGCCUGGGGAGUAUGACCGUAAGGUUAAAAUUUAAAGGAAUUGAUGGGGGCCCGUAUAAGUGGUGGAGUAUGUGGUUUAAUUUGAUGCAAUGUGAAGAAUUUUAUUUGGAUUUGAUAUUUUGGGAAUUUUUUGGAAAUUUAAGAGUGUUUUUUGGGGAAUUUGGUGAUAGGUGUUGUAUGGCUGUCGUCAGCUUGUGUUGUGAGAUGUUGGGUUAAGUUUCGCAACGAGUGCAACCCCUAUCUUUAGUUAUUAUUAAUUUGGUUGGGGAUUUUAGAGAUAUUGUCCCGGUUAAUGGGGAGGAAGGUGGGGAUGACGUUAAGUCCUUAUGGCCUUUAUGUCCAGGGUUAUAUAUGUGUUAUAAUGGUAUGUAUAAAGGGUUGUAAUUUUGUGAGGGUGAGUUAAUUUUAAAAAGUAUAUUUUAGUUUGGAUUGGAGUCUGUAAUUUGACUCCAUGAAGUUGGAAUUGUUAGUAAUUGUGGAUUAGUAUGUUGUGGUGAAUACGUUCCCGGGCCUUGUACACACCGCCCGUCACACCAUGAGAGUUGGUUGUACCCGAUGUUACUGGGCCAAUUUAUUUGGGAGGUAGGUGUUUAAGGUAUGGCUGAUGAUUGGGGUGAAGUCGUAACAAGGUA
rnacentral:rRNA from 1 species